UGUAGUUCAUCUCCUAAUGGCUCACUUCGCAGAAAGCCAACAAGGACACAUCCUUCAACAAAACGUACGUUUAUAUUCAUAUUCAUACACAGUAUUUAUUGUUUUACAGUAUGAACAGCUGUUAAGAGUGGAAUAUGCCUGUCUUCAGAAUAUCAACAACAACUAGCACUUUCAGCUUUUUAUUUAUUCGUUUUUAAUCUGCAGUUACAGUCAGUCAUCUCAAAUUGUUAUCUUUGCCAUUAAAUGUCUGCCACUCCAGCUGACAUUUAGAAGAUGGGUAAUCUACCUGUGACCCUGCUUGGUCAAGGCGAUAUACUUGGGUAAUGGAUGAAAAAAUGGUUGGUCAGCAUUGAAGGCCGAAUAAUCUGCGAGUGUGUGCAGACAACUUUUCUCACUGGACUUGCCAGGAGGAAGCAUCCACACUGGAAGUCUUUAGAAGACGAUUCAGUGAAAUAAAUGCUGAGAAGGGGACUAAGGCUGUGUGGAGAUAAGUUGUGUCUAACUGGAAAAACAGUGCAAAAAACCCCAAAACAAACAGCGACCGUCAAUCCAAAGGUAACUGACGAGGUAGAAGAGCUGAGAGGCUUUAAAUGGGACUUUAUUUAAAAUGGAGCUGAAACUCCCCAACUCCCCAAAAUGUGUUUUUUUGUGGGGGGGUGGGUAUUGUAUCGUGUUGAAGCCUAAUUUUUAUGUCGAUUUGUACGCCAUUUUUGUAUUUUGGUUUGUUGACAGUGCUCUUAUUUUGUAGCAACACAGUGGUUGCAUUGAUUAUUAACUGUAUCUGUUUCAUCACGUUUUUUUUUUCGAGUCUUUUUCAUUGACUUUGUUUCAAUUUUGUAA